rnacentral:rRNA from 1 species
CGAGUAGGGAAUCUUCGGCAAUGGACGAAAGUCUGACCGAGCAACGCCGCGUGAGUGAAGAAGGUUUUCGAAUCGUAAAACUCUGUUGGUAGAGAAGAACGUUGGUGAGAGUGGAAAGCUCAUCAAGUGACGGUAACUACCCAGAAAGGGACGGCUAACUACGUGCCAG